UUUAGAUUACCAGUGCAUUUAGCGUUCUUCAAGCCAAAUACCUUUUAGAUUCUUUACACCCUUGGCUGAAGAAAAUCUCUUCUUUUUUUUUUGUUUGCAAGGGAAUGUUUAUUGUAUCUUUCAUCGAGGUGUCCUUCAAGUUGAAAUUUCUUGCUCAUAAAUCCUGUAUCAUUAAUAAAUCUUUUUCUUUCUUGAAGGAAAGUCAUUAGUUUCUUCAAGAUACAAAACAUUCAUACAAUAUAUUUCUUAGCUAGAUGACUCAACAUAAGAUAUGACAAUAAUUGAAUAUUAAGUCACUUUACUUAAGAGAUUGUCUAAAUAUAAGCAAGCACAAGUCACUUGAACUAAAGAGAUAAUUUUAUUAAAUAAUAUGGUUCAAGGACACCCAUGUGAGGCAAUAGGAAGAUUUAUCAAAGUCAAACCAAUUUUUUUUUAUUUCAGAAGCAAUUUAGCUUAGAUUCUAUUUGCUUAAAAUAAUUAUCAAUAAGAUAUACCAGUUAAGUUU
rnacentral:lncRNA from 1 species